rnacentral:lncRNA from 1 species
UACCGCCUGCGCCCACAGUCGUUCGCCUAGAGCGCCCCUGGCCGAAUUCUAGGCUUUCCUGGGGGCAGCAGCACCCCUACUUCGCCCUGGGGAACCCGAGUCCUGAUCUGGAGCCCCUCGCCCCCAGGAGACCUCUGCUCCCUUUGCCAUCGCCCUGUUCACCUGUGUGCCCUCUAAGCCCUGCAGAGAGACUGGGAGUACGGUGACAAGCCAUCCAGACACAGAACAAGAGGAAGGGGCUGCUAACAGCAGGUACCUGCGGUCUAGUGUGGUCCAGAAGCAGAAGGUCCUGCUUCUGAUAUAUCGUCCAAAGGUCAGUGGUAGCCUAAAGCUACAUGAC